CCUACGGGUGGCAGCAGUGAGGAAUAUUGGUCAAUGGGCGCGAGCCUGAACCAGCCCAGUCGCGUGAGGGCUGAAGGUUCUAUGGAUCGUAAACCUCUUUUAUACGGGAAUAAAGUGUGGGACGUGUCCUAUUUUGUAUGUACCUUAUGAAUAAGGAUCGGCUAACUCCGUGCCAGCAGCCGCGGUAAUACGGAGGAUCCGAGCGUUCUCCGGAUUUAUUUGGUUUACAGGGUGCGUAGGCGGCCGUUUAAGUACGCGGUGAAAGUCUGUGGCGCAACCAUAGAAUGGCCGUUGAAACUGGGGGGCUUGAGGAUGUUUGAGGCAGGCGGAAUGCGUGGUGUAGCGGUGAAAUGCUUAGAUAUCACGCAGAACCCCGAUUGCGAAGGCAGCCUGCCAAGCCAUGACUGACGCUGAUGCACGAAAGCGUGGGGAUCAAACAGGAUUAGAUACCCUUGGAGUC
rnacentral:rRNA from 1 species